rnacentral:sRNA from 1 species
CGCCCGUCAAACUAUGAGAGCUGGUAAUAUCUAAAACCGUGUUGCUAACCGCAAGGAAGCGCAUGUCUAGGGUAGGGCCGGUGAUUGGAGUUAAGUCGUAACAAGGUACCCCUACGAGAACGUGGGGGUGGAUUACCUCCUUUCUAUGGAGUAUAUUAAUACACUAACACGAUAUACACCUGUUACAUAUAACGGUGAAACAAUUAAAACCCAGCAAGAAAAGUUAAACCCAUAAAAGCAAAUUGAUAACUUAAAAAUUGUUGGUCGGAUUCUAUUCAGUUCUCAAGGGGUAUUUUAAAAGCAGUUAUUAAGUUUUUUCUUUAAAGCUUUUUAACUUAAUAACACUUUAAGUUAACCUUGUAAACAUCAUUAAGUUUACCUUUCAAAGAUCCAAGAACAAUUAUUAAAACCUUUUUGGUCAGAUAACUAAUAAACUAACUAACUAGAUCAUUGAUGCAUAAUUAACUGCAUCAAUGAUUUUUUUUAUUAUUUUUACUGCAAAAAAUGCAGAUUUAUCUGUUCAAACCAAUGAUUUAAAAAGGCUUUUUUUAUUAUUAAUCAUUGGUUAUUUUUUACUUGUGAUUUUAGCUUUAAUGCUUAUAAAAAAAUCCAAUGAUAAAAGUUUUUUUAGAAAGGUGUUGUGCAAACUGAUUUAUUGUGCUAUAAUCUUUAAGGCUUAUAUAGCUACAUUGUUCUUUGAAAACUGAAUACGACAAAUCUUUCUAGUCCGAAAUUUGACUAAAGUAUCAAAUCAAAUUUCAUAUAAUAUAGAUUCAAUAAAAAUAGCUAAUGGAUCAAAUACAUAAGUUACUAAGGGCUUAUGGUGGAUGCCUUGGCACUAGAAGGCGAUGAAGGACGUGCAAACCUGCGAAAUGCUACGGGGAGCUGGUUGGAAGCGAUAAUCCGUAGAUGUCCGAAUGGGGGAACCUGAUUAAUAGUGAUAUUAAUCAUUUAGAUCUGAAUACAUAGGGUCUAAAAGCAAUACGUUGUGAAGUGAAACAUCUCAGUAGCAACAGGAAAAGAAAUCGAAAGAGAUUCCGUGUGUAGUGGCGAGCGAAAGCGGAACAGGCCAAACCAAGAUUUAUCUUGGGGUUAUAGGACUGCAGUGUGGACUUUGAACUGAUAGGAGAAGUAGUUGAAAAGCUACGCGAUAAAGGGUUAUAGCCCCGUAUCUUAAAUUGGUUUAAUACCUAGCAGGAUCCUGAGUAAAUCGAGAAACGUUAUCUUGAUCGAAGUCGCCCAGACCAUUGGGCAAGCCUAAAUACUAACUAGUGACCGAUAGCGUAUA